GACGAACGCUGGCGGCGUGCUUAACACAUGCCAGUCGAACGGUGAAGCGCCUUCCUUUUUGGUGGGUGUGGAUGAGUGGCGAACGGGUGAGUAACACGUGAGUAACCUGCCCCCUUCUUCUGGAUAACCGCAUGAAAGUGUGGCUAAUACGGGAUAUUCUGGGUCUGUCGCAUGAUGGGUCUGGGAAAGAUAUUGUUUCGGUGGGGGAUGGGCUCGCGGCCUAUCAGCUUGUUGGUGGGGUGAUGGCCUACCAAGGCGGUGACGGGUAGCCGGCCUGAGAGGGUGGACGGGCACACUGGGAGUGAGGCACGGCCCAGACUCCUGCGGGAGGCAGCAGUGGGGAAUAGUGCACGAUGGGCGCAAGCCUGAUGCAGCGAAGCCGCGGGAGGGAUGGAGGCCUUCGGGUUGUGAACCUCUUUCGCCAGUGAAGCAGGCCUGCCUCGUUUGUGGGUGGGUUGACGGUAGCUGGAUAAGAAGCGCCGGCUAACUACGUG
rnacentral:rRNA from 1 species